GAUGAACGCUGGCGGCGUGCCUAAUACAUGCAAGUCGAGCGAACAGACGAGGAUCUUGCUCCUCUGACGUUAGCGGCGGACGGGUGAGUAACACGUGGAUAACCGACCUAUAAGACUGGGAUAACGUCGGGAAACCGGAUCUAAUACCGGAUAAUAUAGUGAACCGCAUGGUUCAAUAGUGAAAGACGGUUUUGCUGUCACUUAUAGGUGUAUCCUCGCCGCAUUAGCUAGUUGGUAAGGUAACGGCGUACCAAGGCAACGAUGCGUAGCCGACCUGAGAGGGUGAUCGGCCACACUGGAACUGAGACACGGUCCAGACUCCUACGGGAGGCAGCAGUAGGGAAUAUUCCGCAAUGGGCGAAAGCCUGACGGAGCAACGCCGCGUGAGUGAUGAAGGUCUUCGGAUCGUAAAACUCUGUUAUUAGGGAAGAACAAAUGUGUAAGUAACUAUGCACGUCUUGACGGUACCUAAUCAGAAAGCAACGGCUAACUACGUG
rnacentral:rRNA from 1 species